rnacentral:rRNA from 1 species
CCUACGGGGGGCAGCAGUGAGGAAUAUUGGUCAAUGGCCGAGAGGCUGAACCAGCCAAGUCGCGUGAGGGAAGACGGCCCUACGGGUUGUAAACCUCUUUUGUCGGGGAGCAAAGCGAACCACGUGUGGUUCAUUGAGAGUACCCGAAGAAAAAGCAUCGGCUAACUCCGUGCCAGCAGCCGCGGUAAUACGGAGGAUGCGAGCGUUAUCCGGAUUUAUUGGGUUUAAAGGGUGCGCAGGCGGAGGUGCAAGUCAGCGGUCAAAUUGCGGGGCUCAACCCCGUACUGCCGUUGAAACUGUUGGUCUUGAGUAUCGGAGAGGCAGGCGGAAUUCCUAGUGUAGCGGUGAAAUGCGUAGAUAUUAGGAGGAACACCAGUGGCGAAGGCGGCCUGCUGGACGACAACUGACGGUGAGGCGCGAAAGCGUGGGGAGCAAACAGGAUUAGAUACCCUUGUAGUC